rnacentral:rRNA from 1 species
UGAACGCUGGCGGCGUGCCUCAUACAUGCAAGUCGAGCGAACAGACGAGGAGCUUGCUCCUCUGACGUUAGCGGCGGACGGGUGAGUAACACGUGGAUAACCUACCUAUAAGACUGGGAUAACUUCGGGAAACCGGAGCUAAUACCGGAUAAUAUAUUGAACCGCAUGGUUCAAUAGUGAAAGACGGUUUUGCUGUCACUUAUAGAUGGAUCCGCGCCGCAUUAGCUAGUUGGUAAGGUAACGGCUUACCAAGGCAACGAUGCGUAGCCGACCUGAGAGGGUGAUCGGCCACACUGGAACUGAGACACGGUCCAGACUCCUACGGGAGGCAGCAGUAGGGAAUCUUCCGCAAUGGGCGAAAGCUUGACGGAGCAACGCCGCGUGAGUGAUGAAGGUCUUCGGAUCGUAAAACUCUGUUAUUAGGGAAGAACAAAUGUGUAAGUAACUAUGCACGUCUUGACGGUACCUAAUCAGAAAGCCACGGCUAACUACGUG